GGUGAACGCUGGCGGCGUGCCUAAUACAUGCAAGUCGAGCGAACAGACGAGGAGCUUGCUCCUCUGACGUUAGCGGCGGACGGGUGAGUAACACGUGGAUAACCUACCUAUAAGACUGGGAUAACUUCGGGAAACCGUAGCUAAUACCGGAUAAUAUAUUGAACCGCAUGGUUCAAUAGUGAAAGACGGUUUUGCUGUCACUUAUAGAUGGAUCCGCGCCGCAUUAGCUAGUUGGUAAGGUAACGGCUUACCAAGGCAACGAUGCAUAGCCGACCUGAGAGGGUGAUCGGCCACACUGGAACUGAGACACGGUCCAGACUCCUACGGGAGGCAGCAGUAGGGAAUCUUCCGCAAUGGGCGAAAGCCUGACGGAGCAACGCCGCGUGAGUGAUGAAGGUCUUCGGAUCGUAAAACUCUGUUAUUAGGGAAGAACAAAUGUGUAAGUAACUGUGCACGUCUUGACGGUACCUAAUCAGAAAGCCACGGCUAACUACGUG
rnacentral:rRNA from 1 species